rnacentral:rRNA from 1 species
CCUACGGGAGGCAGCAGUGAGGAAUAUUGGUCAAUGGGCGAGAGCCUGAACCAGCCAAAUCGCGUGAAGGAUGAAGGUAUUAUGUAUUGUAAACUUCUUUUAUAGGGGAAUAAAGUGCACCACGUGUGGUGUUUUGUAUGCACCCUAGGAAUAAGGAUCGGCUAACUCCGUGCCAGCAGCCGCGGUAAU